CACAGACAGCUAGGAGGUUGGCUUAGAAGCAGCCAUCCUUUAAAGAAAGCGUAAUAGCUCACUAGUCGAGUCGGCCUGCGCGGAAGAUGUAACGGGGCUCAAACUGGUUACCGAAGCUGCGGCUGUGCACGCAAGUGCACGGGGUAGGGGAGCGUUCUGUAAGCCUGCGAAGGUGUGUCGAGAGGCAUGCUGGAGGUAUCAGAAGUGCGAAUGCUGACAUGAGUAACGAUAAUGGGGGUGAAAAACCUCCACGCCGGAAGACCAAGGGUUCCUGCGCAACGCUAAUCGGCGCAGGGUGAGCCGGCCCCUAAGACGAGCCCGAAGGGGGUAGUCGAUGGGAACCACGUUAAUAUUCGUGGGCCAGGAGGAUGUGACGGAUCAUGAAGGUUGUUCACUCUUAUUGGAUUGAGUGGGCCGCUAAUUGGUUCCUGGAAAUAGCCCUCCAUCAGACCGUACCCUAAACCAACACAGGUGGACUGGUAGAGAAUACCAAGGCGCUUGAGAGAACUAUCUUGAAGGAACUCGGCAAAAUACCUCCGUAAGUUCGCGAGAAGGAGGCCCAGUGUUUACGCAAGUAGAUACUGGGGGCACAAACUAGGGGGUGGCGACUGUUUACUAAAAACACAGGGCUCUGCGAAGUCGCAAGACGACGUAUAGGGUCUGACGCCUGCCCGGUGCCUGAAGGUUAAAAGGAGGGGUGAGAGCUCUGAAUUGAAGCCCAGGUAAACGGCGGCCGUAACAAUAACGGUCCUAAGGUAGCGAAAUUCCUUGUCGGGUAAGUUCCGACCUGCACGAAUGGCGUAACGACUUCCCCACUGUCUCAACUGGAGGCCCAGCGAAAUUGGAGUGCGCGUGCAGAUACGCGCUACCCGCAGAAGGACGAAAAGACCCCGUGAACCUUUACUGUAGCUUGGCAUUGGGUUUCGAAUAACAUUGCGUAGGAUAGGUGGGAGUUUUUGAUCUGUGCAUUCCGGUGUACAGGGAGACAACCUUGAAAUACCACCCUUUGUUAUUUGGAAUCCUAACCUACUGUCGUUAUCCGGCAGGGGGACAAUGUCUGGUGGGCAGUUUGACUGGGGCGGUCGCCUCCUAAACAGUAACGGAGGCGCACGAAGGUUCCCUCAGGCCGUAUGGAAACCGGCCGUAGAGUGUAAGCGCAUAAGGGAGCUUGACUGUGAGACUUACAAGUCGAGCAGGUACGAAAGUAGGUGUUAGUGAUCCGGUGGUUCCGCGUGGAAGGGCCAUCGCUCAACGGAUAAAAGGUACUCCGGGGAUAACAGGCUGAUACCGCCCAAGAGUUCACAUCGACGGCGGUGUUUGGCACCUCGAUGUCGGCUCAUCACAUCCUGGGGCUGAAGCCGGUCCCAAGGGUAUGGCUGUUCGCCAUUUAAAGUGGUACGCGAGCUGGGUUUAGAACGUCGUGAGACAGUUCGGUCCCUAUCUGCCGUGGACGUUGGAGAUUUGAGGAAAGCUGCUCCUAGUACGAGAGGACCGGAGUGGACGAACCUCUGGUGUUCCGGUUGUUUCGCCAGAAGCAUUGCCGGGUAGCUAAGUUCGGACGGGAUAACCGCUGAAAGCAUCUAAGCGGGAAGCCUCCCUCGAAACCAGAAUUCCCUUGAGAACCGUGGAAGACCACCACGUUGAUAGGCCGGGUGUGGAAGAGCAGUAAUGUGUGGAGCUAACCGGUCCUAAUAGUUCUU
rnacentral:rRNA from 13 species